AAACAGAGGUAGUUGGACUUCUCUUUCUAUUUAAAUAUGCUUUAUUUCUUUCUCUUGUCUGAUUGCUCCAGAAAGGACUUCUAAUACUAUGUUGAAUAGGAGUGGUGAGAGAGGGCAUCCUUGUCUUGUGCGGGUUUCAAGGAGGAUGCUUCCAGAUUUUGCCCAUUUAGUAUAAUGUUGGCUGUGAGUUUGUCAUAGGUGGCCUUU
rnacentral:lncRNA from 1 species